rnacentral:lncRNA from 1 species
GAAUCACACCUAACCUCAGCAAACCCGACCCGAUUAUUCUUAAGAUCAAACUCCAUCCACAUAUCUUGUUGAUGGUGAUGCCCGAUCACAUACGCUUCAAUCCCUAACAAAUCUGAAUUCCCAAACGUAAAGCAAUAUAUGUCAUCAAUACCCUUCAUUAAACCCGCCUUAAUUAAUAACUUCUGACCCGAAACAACCAUUUCACCGCCCCGAAACAUCAAACUCACACUAGGCAAAACAGGCAACCCGACUCGACUUUUCUCAACCCGGUAACAAAGAUCCAUCACACCUUGAAACACAAAGUUCGGAUCCUCAUACACCCGUAACACAUUCCGGGUCUGUUUCAAAAACUCGUUUCUCAAAGCGGUGUAAACCGGCCCAAGAAGGAACGUAAACUGGGUACCCGUAUCUAUCAUGCUGAACCGUAUAUGCAACCCGGUCGAAAUACGGUAACGGCUUUGAGAUUUUAACCAUGGGCGUGUAAGUUAACGGCGUGUAAUUAUAUUCUCCUAAAAUUAACACGCCCGUAUUGUCCUGACCCGUAAUGCAAUACGAGAAUUUCGGGUAACCCAUUUGAUUAAUAAAAGAUAAAGACCCCCGGUUCAUACCAAUUAACCCGGUUGAUAACAAAUCCUCCGGUUGGUUAGAAUUUGAAUACGUAUCCAUGCAACCGAAUAUA